rnacentral:rRNA from 1 species
GACGAACGCUGGCGGCGUGCUUAACACAUGCAAGUCGAACGGAAAGGCCCUGCUUUUGUGGGGUGCUCGAGUGGCGAACGGGUGAGUAACACGUGAGUAACCUGCCCUUGACUUUGGGAUAACUUCAGGAAACUGGGGCUAAUACCGGAUAGGAGCUCCUGCUGCAUGGUGGGGGUUGGAAAGUUUCGGCGGUUGGGGAUGGACUCGCGGCUUAUCAGCUUGUUGGUGGGGUAGUGGCUUACCAAGGCUUUGACGGGUAGCCGGCCUGAGAGGGGGACCGGCCACAUUGGGACUGAGAUACGGCCCAGACUCCUACGGGAGGCAGCAGUGGGGAAUAUUGCACAAUGGGCGGAAGCCGGAUGCAGCAACGCCGCGUGCGGGAUGACGGCCUUCGGGUUGUAAACCGCUUUCGCCUGUGACGAAGCGGGAGUGACGGUAAUGGGUAAAGAAGCACCGGCUAACUACGUG